GUUAAAGUAGUAGUUUCUACAUUCUGUCAUGUUCUAUUUCACAGUGAAGGGCGUAGGCGAGGACUCGACAUAGGCGCAAAGACAGGAAGCACGACAACGGAGUAGUGAUGAUGAAGAUGAUCUGAGGAGGACAUAAGCUUUACUUCACAAAGCAUUAUCAGUUUGCAUAUUUUGAAAUUGCAGGCCAGUAGGCUAAGAUAGUGUACAACCACUCCAUGAAGGUAACGCGUUGAGUGGCAAGAGCAUUGGUACUAUGGUCCAUGCUGAGCAAUAUGGGAGUGACUUAGUUGAACUCAGGGUAUAAUCGACAAUUUAUACCACAACGUCAAGCCAAAACCGUUGAUUGUAGCAUUGUUGGGUUCUUUGAUAAAGAGUGGCUUUCAAAGCUUCUUAAGGUUUCGGGUUCAGACAUUGUUGAUGUAAUGACACUUCAUUUGUAUAAUUUGGACCAGAAAUUUGAUUGAAGGGUGCAUGUUGAUAUGGUUGUGUGGAUGGCUUCACGAGCCUUUAGGUUGGAACAAGUCGCCAUAGAUUCUGCCAUAGUAGGGAUGUUGUGUGACCCAAUGGAACCCAAAGGAGGUUCAAAAUCUACCGACCAAUGUGGAUUGAUCGCAUUCCCAAUGUCGUUAAAGCAGCUUGGAACAAGAAAUGAACAAAUUUAAUGCUUUAGAAGGGUGGAAUGGAGCUACCUCAACGUUUUGGCUAUAUCUUCACUUGAGCCCAGGUGAAAGAAAGCUACUUUUCUACAUGUUGGUGUCAAUUCAAAAAUAAAGUUAUGUGAUUUGAUGAUUUCUUUAUUUAAAAAUUUUAAUUGCCCCUAAAUAUUAAAUGCAUUAUUGCGAUUAUAACAGUUGAUGGGGGUGUAAAUAAGUUAUUGUAUUGUUGGCAGCAAUGAAGGCCGGAAAGGCCACAAGAGCAGAGUUUAAUCCUUAACUGCUGAUGGAUUUUUUCAUGGUAGCAAUACAUACACUAGGAAACUAAGGUCAUUCUUUAUUUACUUCAACUAGAAUUGACAAUUUUGACCUGAUUAUUAUGAUGGGUUAACCAUGUUAUAUUUAUUUCAACUAGAACUGACAAUUUUGACCAGAGUUUAGUCAGUAAUGUGUGUUUAAUUGUUUACUUAUGCAUGUGAGGUUUAUUUUGGAAGAGCAUCAACCUUGAGUCACAGUUGUAAAGUUGGCACAAACUCAUGUUCUAAAGGAAGACAUGUAUUUAUUUGUUUAUUAUAACUUUUUCACCACUUUCAUACUAAUACUAAUACAGCCCAAUUCGGGUUAUUUAUAAUGAUGAUGGGUCAAACGGGUAAUUUAAAACGAGUAGACUUCCUGAAUGUUUUUAGUUUGAAAAAAGAGUAAAUUACUCGAAAAAUGCUCUUUUUAGUAGUUAAUUAGUUGCGCCAAAUAUUAGCGCACGAAAUAUAACGUCUAAUAAAUAUUAUAAGUCUUUGGUUUAAAUAUCUAGCAUGUUUUAUACGUUAAAAAUAUACUAUGGUUGACUUUUCACUCAUCUCCUUUUAAGCUACUCAUUUACCGGUUUGACCCGUAAACUCUGGAUUGGCCCCUUCAUAAGUUCAUGGGUCGAAAUUGUUACCUCUAUUAUUCUCCUACGAUAAUUUAUGUCAGGUUCAUGUUGAUAAAAGAGUUCCACCCGGAGCGGGGGUUGCGUUAUCAAGUCCAGUUUUUGUUUUGUUUUUUUUUUUGUUUUUUUUUUGUUUUUUUUUUUUUUUUUGCAGGAUUUUAUUGUACUCAUCAAGAUAAAUAUUCACCAUAUAUGCAAGAAUACUUUUGGUAAUUAUUUAUUUCAGUAGUUGUUUGAUGAUUUCUAUGCAUUUGUUAUAUACACUAUGGGCGAUUUUUUCAUUUUCUUUCUUAUAAACCAAUUUAUUUGAUUUGACAUGUUUGACCCGCUAAAAGCAUAACCAAAGUGACCAAUUUGUGUUGAGAGUAAUGUAGAAUCAAGAAUGGUGUACUGAAUUUUGAUUUGCUUGAGUCAAGAAGUAAAGAAAAUUAAUUGUGGAAGCAAGCCGCAACUUUGUUUCUCCAAUGACAACGAAAUCUCUGGUUUUAGCCUGGAAGCUGCUGAAAAUUAACAACAUUUAUUCCUUAUUACUAAGUGUUCCCUGUUUUAGGUUUGUGAGUGGAGUUUUAUUUUUAUUUUUUAAGUCAAGUAUUUGAAGAUCAAUGAAACGAAACAUGGUAUGAUUAAGAUGUGUGUGGUAGUUGUUGAAUGUUUAAUGUAAGAAGUGUUAUUUUAG
rnacentral:lncRNA from 1 species